CUUGGUUGUAAUCGCACGCGCAGGGAACUCCAUUUUCGCCUUGACGAUCAGAGGGGUUGCUGUAAGUCUUUUUACGCGCAACUGUAUUUCGGAAAGUUGUAGUUUCCUUGCGAAUACUUCAUGUAAAGCGAAGUCAAAACUCUAAAGUAAAAGUGAAAGUGAGACAGAUUUUUUGUUUGAGGAAUCUUGGAGUGUUAUGAUUGAAACGAACUGAGGAGCUGUUUCUGCAAGGACAGGACGUACUUCUGGACGGUGAUAGCGACUCCGACUGGGAGGCCCCAGUGCCAAGCUGCCCGCUCUACCUGUGCCCCCAGUGGUGUUCAUAUGCCACAGUUCAUUACUGCAGGCAUGACUGUGCCUCAGAGCCAAAAGGGCACAGCAUGGAGGCGUCGUUGUGUUCUGUGUCGCAUGAAAUGCACCACUUGUUCAGUUUGCCUCUGCUUUACAUCAGAAAGAUACUGCUAUGGGACAUGGCACAGGCAGCAAAAUAUUAUGACGAGGACUUCCAAGGGGUGUGUCCAUUUUUUAAAAUGAUUUUUAUUUUUUUUCUAAUCUUUUUUAAAACAUUUUUUGUGUGUGUGUGUGUUAGAAUUGCUUUUUGAUAAGUUGUAUAUAGUUAUUUGCACUGCUGUAUAUAGUUAUAGGUCAUUUCACCAAUUCGGCCACUUGGGUACAUUUUGGCUACUUGUGUGGGACACCUGGGUGACUUCAUGCUAAAUGUCAUGUAGCUCACCCAUUCCUGAAGUUAUCAGUCUGAAACUGUGUACACCUACGGUUGUCCUCUUGUGUUAUCCAUCAAAAUGAUCUCCAGCAUCCUAUCUGACUGUGUGGCUAUUCUAGUACAUGUGAAAGAUGAUACUACAACAAUAAAAAACAGAAAACGUA